rnacentral:rRNA from 1 species
UACCUAUGGGGGGCAGCAGUGAGGAAUAUUGGUCAAUGGCCGGAAGGCUGAACCAGCCAAGCCGCGUGAAGGACGAAGGUGCCAAGCAUUGUAAACUUCUUUUGUCAAGGGACAAAAUCAGGCUCGAGAGCCUGACCGAGGGUACUUGAAGAAAAAGCAUCGGCUAACUCCGUGCCAGCAGCCGCGGUAAUACGGAGGAUGCGAGCGUUAUCCGGAUUUAUUGGGUUUAAAGGGUGCGUAGGCUGUCGGAUAAGUUAGAGGUCAAAUGUCGGGGCUUAACCCCGUGCCUGCCUCUGAUACUGUUC